UUGCGCCUCGGGACGCAGCAGUGGGGAAUAUUGCACAAUGGGGGAAACCCUGAUGCAGCGACGCCGCGUGAGUGAAGAAGUAUUUCGGUAUGUAAAGCUCUCUCAGCAGGGAAGAAGAAAGACGGUACCUGACUAAGAAGCCCCGGCUAACUACGUGCCAGCAGCCGCGGUAAUACGUAGGGGGCAAGCGUUAUCCGGAUUUACUGGGUGUAAAGGGAGCGUAGACGGCUGUGCAAGUCUGAAGUGAAAGCCCAGGGCUCAACCCUGGGACUGCUUUGGAAACUGUGGAGCUAGAGUGCUGGAGG
rnacentral:rRNA from 1 species